rnacentral:rRNA from 1 species
AUCUUCGGCAAUGGGCGCAAGCCUGACCGAGCGACGCCGCGUGCGGGAUGAAGGCCUUCGGGUUGUAAACCGCUGUCGUAGAGGAGGAAAUGCAGGGGGGUUCUCCCUUCUGUUUGACCUAUUCUAGGAGGAAGUACGGGCUAAGUUCGUGCCAGCAGCCGCGGUAAGACGAACCGUACAAACGUUACUCGGAAUUACUGGGCUUAAAGGGUGCGUAGGUUGCGCGGAAAGUUGGGUGUGAAAGCCCUCAGCUCAACUGGGGAAUUGCAUUCAAAACUACCGUGCUCGAGGGAGACAGAGGUAAGCGGAACUCAAGGUGGAGCGGUGAAAUGCGUUGAUAUCUUGAGGAACACCGGUGGCGAAGGCGGCUUACUGGGUCUCUUCUGACGCUGAGGCACGAAAGCUAAGGUAGCAAACGGGAUUAGAUACCCCGGUAGUCUUAGCUGUAAACGAUGAGCACUUGUUUGAAGGGUCCUCCAUAGCCUUUCAGACGUAGCGAAAGUGUUAAGUGCUCCGCCUGGGGAGUAUGGUCGCAAGGCUGAAACUCAAAGAAA